rnacentral:rRNA from 1 species
UACGGGGGGGGCAAGCGUUGUUCGGAAUUACUGGGCGUAAAGGGCGCGUAGGCGGCCUGCUAAGUCGGACGUGAAAUCCCUCGGCUCAACCGAGGAACUGCGUCCGAUACUGGUGGGCUUGAAUCCGGGAGAGGGAUGUGGAAUUCCAGGUGUGGCGGUGAAAUGCGUAGAUAUCUGGAGGAACACCGGUGGCGAAGGCGGCAUCCUGGACCGGUAUUGACGCUGAGGCGCGAAAGCUAGGGUAGCAAACGGG